AAAACAGUAUGUAAACACGAUUAAUUAAAGCAACCCGUGUUCAAUGAUGAUCUACAUAGGGCAGCAGUCUCUAAGGUGCAUGGUUGAGUACCGGGUGGUAGCCAGCUAGUAACAGUGACUAAGUUCAGGGCAAGGUAUUGGGCGGAGGCCAGCUAGUAACAGUGACUAAGUUCAGGGCAAGGUAUUGGGCGGAGGCCAGCUAGUAACAGUGACUAAGUUCAGGGCAAGGUAUUGGGCGGAGGCCAGCUAGUAACAGUGACUAAGUUCAGGGCAAGGUAUUGGGCGGAGGCCAGCUAGUAACAGUGACUAAGUUCAGGGCAAGGUAUUGGGCGGAGGCCAGCUAGUAACAGUGACUAAGUUCAGGGCAAGGUAUUGGGCGGAGGCCAGCUAGUAACAGUGACUAAGUUCAGGGCAAGGUAUUGGGCGGAGGCCAGCUAGUAACAGUGACUAAGUUCAGGGCAAGGUAUUGGGCGGAGGCCAGCUAGUAACAGUGACUAAGUUCAGGGCAAGGUAUUGGGCGGAGGCCAGCUAGUAACAGUGACUAAGUUCAGGGCAAGGUAUUGGGCGGAGGCCAGCUAGUAACAGUGACUAAGUUCAGGGCAAGGUAUUGGGCGGAGGCCAGCUAGUAACAGUGACUAAGUUCAGGGCAAGGUAUUGGGCGGAGGCCAGCUAGUAACAGUGACUAAGUUCAGGGCAAGGUAUUGGGCGGAGGCCAGCUAGUAACAGUGACUAAGUUCAGGGCAAGGUAUUGGGCGGAGGCCAGCUAGUAACAGUGACUAAGUUCAGGGCAAGGUAUUGGGCGGAGGCCAGCUAGUAACAGUGACUAAGUUCAGGGCAAGGUAUUGGGCGGAGGCCAGCUAGUAACAGUGACUAAGUUCAGGGCAAGGUAUUGGGCGGAGGCCAGCUAGUAACAGUGACUAAGUUCAGGGCAAGGUAUUGGGCGGAGGCCAGCUAGUAACAGUGACUAAGUUCAGGGCAAGGUAUUGGGCGGAGGCCAGCUAGUAACAGUGACUAAGUUCAUGGCAAGGUAUUGGGCGGAGGCCAGCUAGUAACAGUGACUAAGUUCAGGGCAAGUUAUUGGGCGGAGGCCAGCUAGUAACAGUGACUAAGUUCAGGGCAAGGUAUUGGACGGAGGCCAGCUAGUGGUGACUAUUUAACAGUCUGAUGGCUUGGAGAUAGAAGCCGUUUUCCGUCUCUCGGUCCUAGCUUUGAAGCACCUGUACUGUUUCCGCCUUCUAGAUGGUAGCGGGGAGAACAAGCCACGGCCUGGGUGUCUGAGGCCCUUGUUGAUCUUCUUGGCCUUCCUGUGACACCGGGUGCUGUAGAUGUCCUGCAGGGCUGGCUAUGUGGCCCUGUUGUUGUGGAUGGGGCGGUG